UUAACUGCGAUAGAAAGCUAAAAAGCAGGCACUCCACAGAAACAUGGCCGCCCCUGUUCUUAUCAGCUUGAUAUCUGAUAUGGUUCCUAAAUGGAAUCUUUGAUAUUGAAUAGAUUUUUGGAUCUAGGCAAGAGCUAGAGGCUUGCUUCUACCUUGCCAUGAGUCAUCUCAGUUUUGCAGUAUCUCUGAGUUUGGCUCUCAUAAA
rnacentral:snRNA from 1 species